ensembl:miRNA gmo-mir-187 gmo-mir-187
GGCUGCAACACAGGACAUGGGACCAGCCUCUCAAACCCCUCGUGUCUUGUGUUGCAGCCAG